rnacentral:misc_RNA from 1 species
AAGUCGUAACAAGGUCUCCGUAGGUGAACCUGCGGAGGGAUCAUUAACACGUUUUAAAACACGUUUUAUACCCACCAACCACGUGAACUAUUUAACACUCCUGGAAAAGAGAGAAUUCUGUCUCUAUGCACUAAUGAUGAGUUCUCGCUUGCGGGAACGGUGUGUUUAGACUAGCACUGCUAUGUUUUUAGCGCGUCAAAACCGCUAAAGGCACUGUAAUUGUAAAGACCUUUCUUUUUUGGGAUUAAUGCCUCUCUCAUCACUGGGGCGAAAACAACCACUUUCACCAUUUCUAUAACCAUUGACUGAUCUUCUUAUUUAUUUCACUAUGAAUAGGAAACCUAAUCAAAUAUCUAAGCACAACUCUUAGCAACGGAUAUCUUGGUUCUC